rnacentral:lncRNA from 1 species
CCGCAGUAGCGGGAGACAUAGCCGGCCCAGCCGGGCACCGCUCCUUGCCCUCGCCGGAGACUGCCCAGCGCCCUGCGCCUCUCCGCCCCGGCCUGCGGCGCGCUGGGUGGCGACGAGUCGGCCUCGGCGUUGAUCAGCACCAGACGGAGUCUUGCUCUGUUGCCAAGACUGGAAUGCAGAGGCGCGAUCUCCGCUCAUUGCAGGCUCCGCCUCCACUUGACUCAGGGAACACACAGCAG